rnacentral:rRNA from 1 species
UACGUAGGUGGCAAGCGUUGUCCGGAAUUAUUGGGCGUAAAGCGCGCGCAGGUGGUUUCUUAAGUCUGAUGUGAAAGCCCACGGCUCAACCGUGGAGGGUCAUUGGAAACUGGGAGACUUGAGUGCAGAAGAGGAUAGUGGAAUUCCAUGUGUAGCGGUGAAAUGCGUAGAUAUAUGGAGGAACACCAGUGGCGAAGGCGGCUCUCUGGCCUGUAACUGACACUGAGGCUCGAAAGCGUGGGGAGCAAACAGG